rnacentral:lncRNA from 1 species
GGCCUGUGCGUGUAAGUGCAUUUGAGAUGUGUGUAUAUGAGAACGGGUGUAUUUAGAUGGGAUUUGUGUGAGAGGGUGUGGGUGUAUCAGUGUUGGGUAUAUGUUUGAAAGUAGGUGUAUUUGAGGAGAAUGUGGGCACAUCUGAGUUGGAGCAUGUGAGAGUGUGGGGUAUAUCUAAGACCGCGAAGACCUAUAGGAUGUGAGCAGGGCUCAGCCUAUGUCUGAACGUCUACAUGGCUAUGAACCAGGAUGUGUAUAUCUAAAUAGGAUGUGCCAUCUCUGGGUGGUGUGAGAGUGUGUGGGUGUGUGUGUGAGUGUGAGUGAAUCUGGGGGGUGUGCAUGUGGCUGCAUCCGGCCACAUGUGUGACUAUGUGGCCAGCAUGUGAGUAUGAGGAUAGCAUGUGUGAGUAUUUGGGUGAGGAAUAUAUCUGAGAAUAUGAGUGUAUCUGUGUGUGAGUGUGUAGGUGGUAUAUCUGGAAGUUUUGUGUGUUCAGUAAUGUGGUUUUGUCUGGGUAGGGUGUGUGAUUGUGGGCAUGUGUAUGAAUGUGUAUUGUCCAUGUUUGUUUAUGUAUGUGACUAGGUGCAUGUGGCCAUUUAUACCUGAGUGUAUCAGCUGGAUUGGGUGUGCAUGUGCUUGUGCUAAAGUGGUAUGUAUCUGUACUUGUGCAUGAGGUGAGUGUAUUUCUACAUGUAAGUUGGAUCUGCAAGGUCUCUGGAGGCAGCCUUUGUGUUCGAAUCCUAGUUCUGCCAUUUAUUAGCUGUAUGGCUUUGGGCAAGUCACCUAAGCUCAGCAAAGCCCCAUUGUCUUAUCUGUAAAACUGGGAGUACUAUUACCUAUCUCAUAGGAUGAGGAUUGGGUGAGUUAUAUGAAAAGCACUUAGAGGCUGGACGCGUUGGCUCACGCCUGUAAUCUCAGCACUUUGGGAGGCUGAGGCAGGCAGAUCACUUGAGGUCNNNNNNNNNNUUGCACUCCAGCCUGGGCAACA